rnacentral:lncRNA from 1 species
AAGAAGGAAAGGAUUGGCUGAUACGGCAAGUUGAAAGGUCACGAUGGAGAAUUGGUCGAUUGGUGCUACAGUUGGAGACCGGCCUAUUGGCUCUGCAGUGUUUUGGCGGAUGGAGUUGGUAUAGAUCGGCCGAUUAAGGGGCUGGAGCAAUUGGGCCAAUAUGAGCUUAAAGUGAAUCGCAAAGAGAAGAUGAAGGGGGAUUGGCCCGCAGGAGUGCAACAACCAACUCCGAUACGAGUUGUAAAUAUUCGUUUUUUG